CUCGUAGGCGGCCAACUAAGUCAGACGUGAAAUCCCUCGGCUUAACCGGGGAACUGCGUCUGAUACUGGAUGGCUUGAGUUUGGGAGAGGGAUGCGGAGUUCCAGGUGUAGCGGUGAAAUGCGUAGAUAUCUGGAGGAACACCGGUGGCGAAGGCGGCAUCCUGGACCAACACUGACGCUGAGUGAGCGAAAGCCAGGGGAGCGAACG
rnacentral:rRNA from 1 species